rnacentral:rRNA from 1 species
GAUGGACGCUGGCGGCGUGCCUAAUACAUGCAAGUCGAGCGAACGGACGAGAAGCUUGCUUCUCUGAUGUUAGCGGCGGACGGGUGAGUAACACGUGGAUAACCUACCUAUAGGACUGGGAUAACUUCGGGAAACCGGAGCUAAUACCGGAUAAUAUUUUGAACCGCAUGGUUCAAAAGUGAAAGACGGUCUUGCUGUCACUUAUAGAUGGAUCCGCGCUGCAUUAGCUAGUUGGUAAGGUAACGGCUUACCAAGGCAACGAUGCAUAGCCGACCUGAGAGGGUGAUCGGCCACACUGGAACUGAGACACGGUCCAGACUCCUACGGGAGGCAGCAGUAGGGAAUCUUCCGCAAUGGGCGAAAGCCUGACGGAGCAACGCCGCGUGAGUGAUGAAGGUCUUCGGAUCGUAAAACUCUGUUAUUAGGGAAGAACAUAUGUGUAAGUAACUGUGCACAUCUUGACGGUACCUAAUCAGAAAGCCACGGCUAACUACGUG